rnacentral:piRNA from 1 species
UAGAGGAAAGUAAGGGUGUUUGGCCCUGUGU